CCAGACUCCUACGGGAGGCAGCAGUGGGGGAUAUUGCACAAUGGGGGGAACCCUGAUGCAGCGACGCCGCGUGGGUGAAGGAGCGUUUCGGCGCGUAAAGCCCUAUCGGCAGGGAAGAAGGAGGACGGUACCUGACUAAGAAGCCCCGGCUAACUACGUGCCAGCAGCCGCGGUAAUACGUAGGGGGCAAGCGUUAUCCGGAUUUACUGGGUGUAAAGGGAGCGUAGACGGUUAUGUAAGUCUGGAGUGAAAGCCCGGGGCCCAACCCCGGGACUGCUUUGGAAACUGUGUAACUGGAGUACAGGAGGGGCAGGCGGAAUUCCUGGUGUAGCGGUGAAAUGCGUAGAUAUCAGGAGGAACACCGGCGGCGAAGGCGGCCUGCUGGACUGAAACUGACGUUGAGGCUCGAAAGCGUGGGGAGCAAACAGGAUUAGAUACCCUUGUAC
rnacentral:rRNA from 1 species